AUUGAACGCUGGCGGCAUGCUUUACACAUGCAAGUCGGACGGCAGCACAGAGAAGCUUGCUUCUUGGGUGGCGAGUGGCGAACGGGUGAGUAAUAUAUCGGAACGUACCGAGUAAUGGGGGAUAACUAAUCGAAAGAUUAGCUAAUACCGCAUAUUCUCUGAGGAGGAAAGCAGGGGACCUUCGGGCCUUGCGUUAUUCGAGCGGCCGAUAUCUGAUUAGCUAGUUGGUGGGGUAAAGGCCUACCAAGGCGACGAUCAGUAGCGGGUCUGAGAGGAUGAUCCGCCACACUGGGACUGAGACACGGCCCAGACUCCUACGGGAGGCAGCAGUGGGGAAUUUUGGACAAUGGGCGCAAGCCUGAUCCAGCCAUGCCGCGUGUCUGAAGAAGGCCUUCGGGUUGUAAAGGACUUUUGUCAGGGAAGAAAAGGCUGUUGCUAAUACCGACAGCUGAUGACGGUACCUUAAGAAUAAGCACCGGCUAACUACGUG
rnacentral:rRNA from 1 species